UCGCCUUCGGGUGAGAUAUAAAGUGGCGCACGGGUGAGUAACACGUAGGUAAUGUACCUUUGGGUGGGGAAUAACUUAGGGAAACUUAAGCUAAUACCGCAUAAUGCAGCGGCUUCUUCGGAAGACAGUUGUUAAAGAUUUAUCGCCUAAAGAGCAGCCUGCGGCAGAUUAGCUAGUUGGUAAGGUAACGGCUUACCAAGGCUACGAUCUGUAUCCGACCUGAGAGGGUGGUCGGACACACUGACACUGAAUAACGGGUCAGACUCCUACGGGAGGCAGCAGUCGGGAAUUUUGGGCAAUGGGCGAAAGCCUGACCCAGCAACGCCGCGUGAAGGAUGAAGUCUCUCGGGAUGUAAACUUCGAAAGAAUAGGAAGAAUAAAUGACGGUACUAUUUAUAAGGUCCGGCUAACUACGUGCCAGCAGCCGCGGUAAUACGUAGGGACCAAGCGUUGUUCGGAUUUACUGGGCGUAAAGGGCGCGUAGGCGGCAAUUCAAGUCAGUUGUGAAAUCUCCGAGCUUAACUCGGAACGGUCAACUGAUACUGCUUUGCUAGAGUACAGAAGGGGCAAUCGGAAUUCUUGGUGUAGCGGUGAAAUGCGUAGAUAUCAAGAGGAACACCUGAGGUGAAGACGGGUUGCUGGGCUGAUACUGACGCUGAGGCGCGAAAGCUAGGGUAGCAAACGGGAUUAGAUACCCCGGUAGUCCUAGCCCUAAACGAUGAAUACUUGGUGUCUGGAGUUUUAUUCUCCGGGUGCCGUCGCUAACGUUUUUAGUAUUCCGCCUGGGGAGUACGCACGCAAGUGUGAAACUCAAAGGAAUUGACGGGGACCCGCGCAAGCGGUGGAGCAUGUGGUUUAAUUCGACGCAACGCGAAGAACCUUACCUGAACUAGAAUGCGAGGGAAGAUUACCUAAUAGUAAUCGUCGGGCAACCGACCCAAAGCAAGGUGCUGCAUGGCUGUCGUCAGCUCGUGUCGUGAGAUGUUGGGUUAAGUCCCGCAACGAGCGCAACCCCUAUUAACAGUUGCUAACAAGUAAUGUUGAGAACUCUGUUAAGACUGCCGUUGAUAAAAC
rnacentral:rRNA from 1 species